GAUGAACGCUGGCGGCGUGCUUAACACAUGCAAGUCGAACGGAAAGGCCCUGCUUUUGUGGGUUGCUCGUGUGGCGAACGGGUGAGUAAAACGUGAGUAUACUCUACUUGACUUUGGGAUAACUUUAGGAAACUCGGUCUAAUAUCGGAUAGAAGAUUUUGCUGCAUGGUGGGGGUAGGAAAGUUUCGGCGGUUGGGGAUGGACUCGCGGCUUAUCCGCUUGUUUGUGGGGUAGUGGCGUACCAAGGCUUUGACGGGUAGCCGGCCUGGGAGGGUGACCGGGCACAUUGGGACUGAGAGACGGCCCAGACGCCUACGGGAGGCAGCAGUGGGGAAUAUGGCAGAACGGGCGGAAGCCUGAUGUAGCAACGCCGGGUGCGGGAUGACGUCCUAUGGGUGGUAAACCGCUGUCGCCUGUGACGAAGCGUGAGUGACGGUAAUGGGUAAAGAAGCACCGGCUAACUACGUG
rnacentral:rRNA from 1 species